rnacentral:misc_RNA from 1 species
GAUGAAGAACGCAGUGAAAUGCGAUAAGUAAUGUGAAUUGCAGAAUUCAGUGAAUCAUCGAAUCUUUGAACGCACAUUGCGCCCGCCAGUAUUCUGGCGGGCAUGCCUGUUCGAGCGUCAUUUCAACCAUCAAGCCCCGGGCUUGUGUUGGGGACCUGCGGCUGCCGCAGGCCCUGAAAAGCAGUGGCGGGCUCGCUGUCACACCGAGCGUAGUAGCAUAUAUCUCGCUCUGGGCGUGCUGCGGGUUCCGGCCGUUAAACCACCUUUUAACCCAAGGUUGACCUCGGAUCAGGUAGGAAGACCCGCUGAACUUAAGCAUAUCAAUAAGCGGAGGA